UGUGCAUAACACCGAGUGUUACUUAGCACGAAUGUUGAAACCGGCCCAACAUUUUGACAUAUUGCAACUACAAUAAAUUACUACGAGAUAUCGAGCCGACGUGUAAAUUUAAAUUUACAUUUUGAAUAGUUUCAGACAAUAAUAUAAUACUCAACAGUAGGUAAUACACAUAAAUGUGUGCGCGUGAACGUGUAUGGUUAGAAAACUGUACGGGCAAAUUUAACAAUAAUAAAAAUUAUAUACAAACAUACGUUAUGCGUACUACACUUGGACAAAAUACAGUAUCGUAGACCCGCGUAAAAAGGACACGGAUAAUACGAGAUAUGUGUUCAAUAGAAACUUCGAACGGCUGAAUCGAGACUAGACACGUAACGUGAUCGAAAUCCUGGAACGUUUCGUCAAUACUUCUAGAAACGUUAUCGGGGCUCUGACGAUGAACAACGAGAUUUGUUCGAAAUUACAUGGGUUGACAGAGCGAUGAUUGUCGUUUCGAUUGGUUAAAAAUCAAUAACACUAAAUGUAACCUAAUAAAUGUAAUACAAUACACAGUUAUGAGACAACGAGUUUAGAAGUAUACCUACGUCUCAGGCAAGAAAAUAACGCGAAUGCAUGCAAAAUUAAAAAAAACAACAAUGAAAAUAUCUCAAUACU